UGGUUGUUUCUACGUGCAUGUACUAGUUCACGUAAAAAUCAAUCCACCUGCCUGCUUGUGUACAGGGGCGUUUCCAACAAUCGAUCCAGUUUGCUCAGCUUCUUACGUACGUGUCUUCCGGUCAAAUAAUCCAUCUGCACGUGAGCACAUCAUCGAUUUCUUCAGAAAGUACACGGCGAGUCGAGGGGGCGGCCAGCGGCAGCAGAGAUGGUCGGGGAACUGGGUCGACCCAU
rnacentral:rRNA from 1 species